AGCCGGGCAAGCGUACCCGGAGAGCUGACAGGAGGUCUCGGCGGCGCCGCCGCGCAAGCGCAGGGAAGGCGCCCGGGACGCAAGCGGCACAGCACACGACCCCCCUCUGGCGGCCCGCCUCCGGGCUGAAGACGCCGCGGCGGCGGAGCCACUCCCGCCGAAAGCGCGCCAUCGGCGGCUCCUUCCCUCCCGGCCGCACUCCGACGCCGACUGGACCCAGGGGCCCGCGGACUCACUCACCCGCAGCGGCGGCGGCGGCUAGCCGCGGCCUCUCCAUUGCUCCUCAGCAACAGUUUUCUUCAAAGGUCGCGCUCGCAGCUGAAGCCGAGCCUUGUGCGUGCGGUGCAGUCGCAUCCAGCAAUACAUAGUGUACAAACUCCGUCGCCAUGCAGCUCCUCAACCUUUUCAUCCCCGUUCACUGGCCUCCCUCCCCGCCCUGCACCCUCUGGUCCCUCAUGGGAACAGGCUCCGCCGCUUGUAACGGUGGAGCGGCGGGUCCACAGAGCCCCUCCCUGGAGCUGCGAGCUAAGUGUCGGGUUUGUGGAUGGCCUGGGCCCCUUAUCCACAGAAACAUCACCUUGGGACGCAGACUCCUGACCAAGGUCUUGUUCCUUGGGGCUCUGCUUGCACAGCACACGGUCUGCCUCCUUGCCCCUGGUUGACACUAGUCUCUGCCUCUUCACCCCAGCAUGCAGGUAGUGGCUGUCCCCUUGUUAGGCAGAAAGACAGAUAUGAGCUAGGUGGAGAGAGAAUAAAGCCAGUAAAGCCGACCAAAAGGGACACAAAGAGUUAACCAGAUAAAACCAGAGAGCCAGAAAGGACUCAGAGUCAAUUAGUUGAAGUUUCAAGGGCCAGGAGUGACUUGGAAUGUCCAGACACUCCCCAGAUGAAAAACAGCUUCCCAGAUGAGAAGCUUCCAAGCACAGACACUCCCCCAGAUAAAGAAAACAUCAGAGGACAGGCACAGCAAACAUCAGAGUGCUUCCCAUGUCUCCUUUUUACCAAUUAACCAGGCCUCCAAGGCCACAGGCCAAAGAUUGUCAGUCAAGGAUGUCUCUGCCCUGCCAAAAACCCCAUAAAAAGAAGCCUCACAGUAAACAGCUUGCCUGUCUAAUCUUAGGCAGGCCCACUCUGUUACCCUGUACAGAGUGAAAUAAAAUUUACUUUGCCUUCCUGA